rnacentral:tRNA from 1 species
UCCCUGAUGGUCCAGUGGUUAGGGCUCUGCACUGCCACUGAAGGAGACCAGGAUUCAAUCCCUGGUGAGGGAA